AGCAAACAAAUGUAAAAGGCGUAAUAUAGGGUCAUCAUAAUGAUAUGUUUUCAUUAAGUUAAUGAUGGGAAUUUCUGUUGGACAGGCGUAUCUUUCCGUGACGCAUUAUUCACGUUUAAAUGAAACAUAAAAUAACCCCAGUGGCUUUAGUUAAUUACUAAUUGAGGCGGGCAAUCGGCCACUUGUGGAUUUACUUUGAAAUAAGACGGACAUUAUAUAUACAACAGUUGCAGAAAAACUUGAUUACCCAAACUUCCACCAUGAAACUAUUCUUUGUUUUGGCGUUUUUAUUGGUUGUUUUGUACCACGUGAAUGCCCAGGUAGCCGCCCCAACUCCCGACAAGACCAAUAGAGUGAAUAAUAUGAAUUAUCUGCGCGAGCUGAUGAUGGCAAGGAUGCGAGGACAACAACAACAACACCAACAAGGGCCACAGAGAAGACCUUUUGUACCACGACCGAGGUUCAUGCCUUAUAACAACUUUUUAACGGGGGCACUUCUCGCUAACAAUGACGCAUUUGAUGACAUGUUUGAAUUUUAAA